rnacentral:rRNA from 1 species
UGGGGAAUCUUCCGCAAUGGACGAAAGUCUGACGGAGCAACGCCGCGUGAGUGAAGACGGCCUUCGGGUUGUAAAGCUCUGUGAUCCGGGACGAAAGAGCCUGAGGUGAAUAGCCUAAGGAAGUGACGGUACCGGAAAAGCAAGCCACGGCUAACUACGUGCCAGCAGCCGCGGUAAUACGUAGGUGGCAAGCGUUGUCCGGAAUUAUUGGGCGUAAAGCGCGCGCAGGCGGCUUCCUAAGUCCAUCUUAAAAGUGCGGGGCUUAACCCCGUGAUGGGAUGGAAACUGGGAAGCUGGAGUAUCGGAGAGGAAAGUGGAAUUCCUAGUGUAGCGGUGAAAUGCGUAGAGAUUAGGAAGAACACCGGUGGCGAAGGCGACUUUCUGGACGAAAACUGACGCUGAGGCGAGAAAGCGUGGGGAGCAAACAGG